CUCGGGUGCAAAAGCAUAUCUUCAAACGAUUCAAUGGGUGCAGGUGCGGGAGGAGAAUCCGAAGCAACAGUGACUUCGACAUUAAGCCGCAAACGAACAUCUUCAAUCUGCUGCGAAUUCAAGCGACGCGCUCGGAGGGGCUCCAUUGAGGAAAAACGACUUCGGGAACAGCCAAGGUUCUCGGCGACGUGACAGCAACGGAAGUCCGGCGAGAGCCAUUGGACAAAGUAGGAAGAGAGUUCCAAGUGGAAGUAGCAGAGGAGAUUUUAGUGUGCAAAUUUGAAGAAGCGGAAUGCGAGAGCUUACUGAUGUGAUCACUGACGCUGUCUAGGGUUAGUGAAGAAGUGGUGGUGGUGGUAGAGUUCCUCAGGUGUGGCGGUAUAUACGACAUUGUUUAAGAUUGGCUUUAACAGUUUUUAGUUACGCUUGCACAAAUACAGUGGAGUGAAAAUGCGAUUGAGCGGAGCUGAUGAAAGAGGAAAAAACA
rnacentral:misc_RNA from 1 species